rnacentral:rRNA from 1 species
GGAACCGGGAGAGGUAAGAGGUACUACAGGGGUAGGAAGUGAAAUCUUGUAAUCCCUGUGGGACCACCUGUGGCGAAGGCGUCUUACCAGAACGGGUUCGACGGUGAGGGACGAAAGCUGGGGGCACGAACCGGAUUAGAUACCCGGGUAGUCCCAGCCGUAAACGAUGCUCGCUAGGUGUCAGGCAUGGCGCGACCGUGUCUGGUGCCGCAGGGAAGCCGUGAAGCGAGCCACCUGGGAAGUACGGCCGCAAGGCUGAAACUUAAAGGAAUUGGCGGGGGAGCACAACGAACGGGUGGAGCCCUGCGGUUUAAUUGGACUCAACGCCGGACAACUCACCGGGGGCGACAGCAAUAUGUAGGCCAAGCUGAAGACUUUGCCUGAAUCGCUGAGAAGUGGUGCAUGG